rnacentral:lncRNA from 1 species
UGAGAGAUGGGAGGACAUUUAUAACACGUCUGAUAUGAGAGAUGGGAGGACAUUUAUAAACACGUCUGAUAUGAGAGAUGGGAGGAGACAUUUAUAACACGUCUGAUAUGAGAGAUGGGAGGGAGACAUUUAUAAACACGUCUGAUAUAAGAGAUGGGAGGACAUUUAUAACACGUCUGAUAUGAGAGAUGGGAGGACAUUUAUAACACGUCUGAUAUGAGAGAUGGGAGGACAUUUAUAACACGUCUGAUAUGAGAGAUGGGAGGACAUUUAUAACACGUCUGAUAUGAGAGAUGGGAGGACAUUUAUAACACACGUCUGAUAUGAGAGAUGGGAGGACAUUUAUAUCACGUCUGAUAUGAGAGAUGGGAGGACAUUUAUAACACGUCUGAUAUGAGAGAUGGGAG